GUUACCGUUCACGGAUCAUGCCUGGAUUGAGUGUGUGGUAAAAGGUGGUGGUCUAAGUGUCUGGCAAGAAUUAUCAGGCAGAUCUUUGUUUUCUUAUGGAAUUCAAGGAUGGAGAAAUUGAGUCGUGGGAAGGUGGUGAAAAGCAGAAUGCAUGGUGGGAAAGGAAUGAUGAAUGUGGAAGUGUUCCUGGCUGUGAAGUAUGUCAGUUUUUGUCUCGCUAUUAUAUCCUGAUAUGAAGGGACAGUUGGAGGGACAGAAUCCGCUGCAAUUAAUUUUUUCUGAGGGAAAGUCAUGAAGGGAAAGCUUUUUGUUAUAUGUACAUGUAAA